rnacentral:ncRNA from 1 species
AGAAUCAGUGUUGAAAAGUUACCCAGGCAUGUGGUUUUUAAAUAAAAAGCUAUAAUAAUAAUAAAAAAAGAAAUCAGAGGCAGACCUGCUAUGGAAAUCAGGGUCAGAGAUCAUUAUGGAGAUCAAGGCAGCCCCUCCCAUUGAUUUCAGAGACCCUUUAUGAAGAUCAGGGUCAUUUAAUACCAACCAUCCAUCAAAAUCCCUAUACCCAAUAUUGGACAAUUCUGUUAACAUUUAGAAGACAUAACGCUAAUAUGAAUAACCUGAAUAUAUUCUCCUUGCACAAACAUAAAUACAGAUCGGAACAACCGCUUACACUUAACCAAACAAAUAAUCAUACCCACACAGGAGCACCCUAUUACACACAUUGUUAACCCAACUCAGGUGUGCACAAAAGGAAAGAUUAAAAGGAUUAAAAGGAACUCGAACAAAAACCCCGUGUGUUUACCAAAAACAUCACCUCUAGCAUUUUCCAGUAUUAGAAGCACUGCCUGCCCUGUGAGUUGUGACUUUAAUGGCCACGGUAUCCCCACCGACCAUGCAAAGGUAGCAUAAUCACUUGUCUCUUAAUUGGGGACCGGUAUGAAUGGCACAACCAGGGUUUAACUGUCUCUUAUUCCCAAUCAGUGAAACUGACCUUCCGGUGCAGAGGCGGGAAUGCUCAUACAAGACGAGACCCUGUGGAGCUUAAGUCGCAUAACUCAACACAUACUACCAUCCAACCUAUCGGAACAAACUGUAUAAGCCACUGAGUUAUAGUCUUUGAUUGGGGUGACCUCGGAGCAUAAAACAACCUCCGAAUGAAUAUGACCUAGAUGAACAAAUCCAAGUGUAUCAAUACCAGUAAUUGGCCCAUCUCUUGAUCAACGGAACAAGUUACCCCAGGGAUAACAGCGCAAUCCUAUUUGAGAGCCCAUAUCGAAAAUUAGGGUUUACGACCUCGAUGUUGGAUCAGGACACCCAAAUGGUGCAACCGCUAUUAAAGGUUCGUUUGUUCAACGAUUAAAGUCCUACGUGAUCUGAGUUCAGACCGGAGAAAUCCAGGUCGGUUUCUAUUUGCAGAUUCAUUUCUCCCA